UUUGAGUGCCUCUUCUUUCUCUCCUCUCUACCUCGGGUUCCUUCCCCACCAACCAAAGAAUGUCACCCGUGUUAUCAGUUACUUUGGGUCUGCCAGCUCCCGGAAGCAGGGUGAACGGGAGGUAUGAAUCUGGAGUGUCCAGCUGCCUUCAUUGUUGUCCCUUACUUGGAAGCAAAAACCAAAGACAACACUGGGAACACGCGGUUGACAGUUGGGAGAUACUUCCCCGGAGACACCUUUAGCGCUAAAUUCCUAGAGCCCUCCGUGCCCUGGAAGUUAUUUAACUUACCUUUGAGAAAGGUUAUUCCUCAACGGACGCUGUCGAGGGUCUGUGCCUGGGACCUGUCCUAGGAAACUCUGGAAAAGUUUUGUUUAACAUCAACAAGUCACUACUGGGUCUCCUAGACUGUUAAUGCGUCUUUACCCAAACGAGAGACAAUGUGUAGCAUUUGAAAACACCAUCUUCACAAGACAAUCCUUUCUGAUGUCCCAGUGAUGUAGCUACUCUAGUUACCACCGAACUGCAGCUGAACGUGCACCGGAGAGAUCCAGCCUUUCGGCCCUGGCCCUCUUCUCUCUGGCUGAGGACAAGAGCAUCUCAGGAGCUGUUUGGAAUUCUUUCUUCGGAGAGAGCACUUCUUCGGGAGUCCAUGAGGAGAGCCCCCAGAGGGUGCGGCAUCCUCCCUGCUUAGCGCACAGGCCAUGAAGGCUAGACAUGUUGGCUCCACCUGC